rnacentral:rRNA from 1 species
GAUGAACGCUGGCGGCGUGCCUAAUACAUGCAAGUCGAGCGAACAGACGAGGAGCUUGCUCCUCUGACGUUAGCGGCGGACGGGUGAGUAACACGUGGAUAACCUACCUAUAAGACUGGGAUAACUUCGGGAAACCGGAGCUAAUACCGGAUAAUAUAUUGAACCGCAUGGUUCAAUAGUGAAAGACGGUUUUGCUGUCACUUAUAGAUGGAUCCGCGCCGCAUUAGCUAGUUGGUAAGGUAACGGCUUACCAAGGCGACGAUGCGUAGCCGACCUGAGAGGGUGAUCGGCCACACUGGAACUGAGACACGGUCCAGACUCCUACGGGACGCAGCAGUAGGGAAUCUUCCGCAAUGGGCGAAAGCCUGACGGAGCAACGCCGCGUGAGUGAUGAAGGUCUUCGGAUCGUAAAACUCUGUUAUUAGGGAAGAAAAAAUGUGUAAGUAACUAUGCACGUCUUGACGGUACCUAAUCAGAAAGCCACGGCUAACUACGUG